rnacentral:misc_RNA from 1 species
GAUGAAGAACGUAGUGAAAUGCGAUAAGUAAUGCGAAUUGCAGAAUUUCCGUGAGUCAUCGAAUCUUUGAACGCAUAUUGCGCCCUUUGGUAUUCCGAAGGGCAUGCCUGUUCGAGCGUCAUUAUCACCCCUCAAGCUCCCGCUUGGUGUUGGACCUUUUUUUUUCGUCGAGGGGCCUUUUCGCCUAUCGACGGGUCUCAAAGAUAGUGACGGCGUCUCAGAGGGAACCGGUACGAGGAGCUUCUUUCGUUAAGCAUGUACCUGGGAAGACUCUGUGGGCGACGGUCGUUUUAAUACUUCUAUUUCAAGUGUUGACCUCGGAUCAGGUAGGAAUACCCGCUGAACUUAAGCAUAUCAAUAAGCGGAGGA